CUUGAAUAAAAGUAGUUAAGGUCUCCAUAACUCAAAGAAUUUGGCGGUUAAUGAAAAUUUCAGAGGAACCUGUAUAUAGAUUGAUAAACCACGAUAAUUUAUACUUAUAUUUAAGUUUGUAUACCUCUAUAUAUUAAGAGUGUUUUAAAAGAAUAUUUUCUUUUAGUUGUAUCUGUAAUUUUAGGUCAAGGUGCAGUUUUAUUUAAGUUUAUAUGGGUUACUUUAUUAUUAAAAAUUUUUUAUUUAUGUUUUAUUUAUAUAUUUAUAUUUAGGAUUUGAAAGUAAUUUUAAUAAAUUAAUUAAAAUGAAUUCU
rnacentral:rRNA from 1 species